GAUGAACGCUAGCGGCAGGCCUAAUACAUGCAAGUCGAACGGGAUCUGAGGGUAGCUUGCUACCCGAUUUGAGAGUGGCGCACGGGUGCGUAACGCGUGAGCAACCUACCCAUAUCAGGGGGAUAGCCCGGAGACAUUCGGAUUAACACCGCAUAAGAAUGUAUCAACACAUGUUAAAGCAUUUAAAUAUUUAUAGGAUAUGGAUGGGCUCGCGUGACAUUAGCUAGUUGGUGAGGUAACGGCUCACCAAGGCGACGAUGUCUAGGGGCUAUGAGAGGAGAAUCCCCCACACUGGUACUGAGACACGGACCAGACUCCUACGGGAGGCAGCAGUAAGGAAUAUUGGUCAAUGGGCGGAAGCCUGAACCAGCCAUGCCGCGUGCAGGAUGACUGCCCUAUGGGUUGUAAACUGCUUUUGUCGAGGAAUAAACCUAUCUACGUGUAGCUAGUUGAACGUACUCGAAGAAUAAGGAUCGGCUAACUCCGUGCCAGCAGCCGCCGUAA
rnacentral:rRNA from 1 species